UACGUAGGGUGCGAGCGUUGUCCGGAAUUAUUGGGCGUAAAGAGCUCGUAGGCGGUUUGUCGCGUCUGCCGUGAAAGUCCGGGCUCAACUCCGGAUCUGCGGUGGGUACGGGCAGACUAGAGUGAUGUAGGGGAGACUGGAAUUCCUGGUGUAGCGGUGAAAUGCGCAGAUAUCAGGAGGAACACCGAUGGCGAAGGCGGGUCUCUGGGCCGUAACUGACGCUGAGGAGCGAAAGCGUGGGGAGCGAACAGG
rnacentral:rRNA from 1 species